AGUUCCCAUGCGCCGUCACGGACCGGGACUACACUUCCCAUGAGCCUCCGCGGCCGCCCCUCUCCUCGCGGUGUCUGAGCCAGCAUGGCGGCGGGGCUGCGUGUGAGCAUGACACCGUGUCGGGAAGGGGUAAAAACCCUCGCCUGGCUGGGGAGCUGAUUUACCCACAGUGCACCUUUACAGUGGAGGAAAUGGUCCUGCAGAAUCCUGGGGCUGCUGUUGCCCAAAGACAUCUUUGGCCAGAGGGCAGCUGCUAUGUUUGGCUUCAGGCUGAUCUAGAAGGAAGAUUGUUCUGGACUGGAUGUCACAAAUGACUGCUGAUAUGUCAUGUAAAAUGGCCACCUGUGUGUAGCCACAGGCUCCUCCUCACUGCUCAGUCGUUGCUGCAGCCACACCAUGGGACCUGAUCUGCUGUUGGCUGGAGGAAAAAGUCGUUCCCUGCUUUUUGCUGUUUCAGAAUAAAAUAAGUUGUGGAAAAUCUUA